CCUACGGGAGGCAGCAGUGGGGAAUAUUGGACAAUGGGGGGAACCCUGAUCCAGCCAUGCCGCGUGUGUGAAGAAGGCCCUCGGGUUGUAAAGCACUUUCAGUGAGGAAGAACGCCUGGUGGUUAAUACCCAUCAGGAAAGACAUCACUCACAGAAGAAGCACCGGCUAACUCCGUGCCAGCAGCCGCGGUAAUACGGAGGGUGCGAGCGUUAAUCGGAAUUACUGGGCGUAAAGCGCGCGUAGGUGGCUUGAUAAGCCGGUUGGGAAAGCCCCGGGCUCAACCUGGGAACGGCAUCCGGAACUGUCAAGCUAGAGUGCAGGAGAGGAAGGUAGAAUUCCCGGUGUAGCGGUGAAAUGCGUAGAGAUCGGGAGGAAUACCAGUGGCGAAGGCGGCCUUCUGGACUGACACUGACACUGAGGUGCGAAAGCGUGGGUAGCAAACAGGAUUAGAUACCCCAGUAGUC
rnacentral:rRNA from 1 species